rnacentral:rRNA from 1 species
AUUGAACGCUGGCGGCAUGCCUAACACAUGCAAGUCGAACGGAAACGAUGCUAGCUUGCUAGCAGGCGUCGAGUGGCGGACGGGUGAGUAAUGUAUAGGGAUCUGCCUAGUAGUGGGGGACAACAUGUGGAAACGCAUGCUAAUACCGCAUACGCUCUACGGAGGAAAGUGGGGGACCUUUCGGGGCCUCAUGCUACUAGAUGAACCUAUAUUGGAUUAGCUUGUUGGUAAGGUAAUGGCUUACCAAGGCGACGAUCCAUAGCUGGUUUGAGAGAAUGAUCAGCCACACUGGGACUGAGACACGGCCCAGACUCCUACGGGAGGCAGCAGUGGGGAAUAUUGCACAAUGGACGAAAGUCUGAUGCAGCAAUGCCGCGUGUGUGAAGAAGGCCUUAGGGUUGUAAAGCACUUUCAGACGUGAGGAAAAGUAAUAAUUUAAUAAAUUAUUACCUUGACGUUAACGUCAGAAGAAGGACCGGCUAACUCCGUGCCAGCAGCCGCGGUAAUACGGAGGGUCCAAGCGUUAAUCGGAAUUACUGGGCGUAAAGCGCGCGUAGGCGGAUAUUUAAGUCAGAUGUGAAAUCCCUGGGCUCAACCUAGGAACUGCAUUUGGUACUGGAUAUCUAGAGUAUGGUAGAGGUGAGUGGAAUUUCAGGUGUAGCGGUGAAAUGCGUAGAGACCUGAAGGAACAUCAGUGGCGAAAGCGACUCACUGGGCCAUUACUGACGCUGAGGUGCGAAAGCGUGGGUAGCAAACAGGAUUAGAUACCCUGGUAGUCCACGCCCUAAACGAUGUCAACUAGUUGUAUGGGAGUUUAACUCCUGUGUAUCGA